GGGUAUUCCUAUUAGGCUAAUUUUAUCCAAUGUUUGCAAUGGCCCUCACCAAUAAGCAUGUGGACUAAUUAAUGUAAAUCUGAUAAACCAGGAACCAGUUGAAAGAGACUUUGAAAGUUGGUGGUGGAGUAAGAGGACCCUCAGCUGGCCUUAUCCCAUGAACACAACUAAACAACUAUCAAAUCAUCCCAAACCCCAGAAAUUGACCUAAAGAAUGACAGAACAAAUUCCACAACUAAGGGAGACAAGAGGCCACAUUAACAAAGGUAUGAAG